rnacentral:lncRNA from 1 species
GAACGUGAGCCUUCUUUCAACAGCAACGUCGCAGCAUUUGCGCUGAAGGCCAAGGUCAUUUACCCCAUCAAUCAGAAGUUCCGGGUGAGACUCCAAGCUCCUUCUUGGAAAUGCAGUUAACUGUGGAAUCUCCUAGAGCUUGGGGUGGGGUAGAGGGGUUAAAUGAGCGACUCUCAGUCCUAGUCAAGGGUUUUGUGGCAGGCCAUUUUCCACAGAACCUUUAACAGGAACACACACUGGGACCCGCACUUCACUUAGCCGUGUGGUGGCCGAUGAAGUGUAUUUAUACAUCAGCAGCAGCCAUUGUUGGGCCUGUUGGGCAGGCCUAGCAGGGGCUCUAGCGCUUCCUGCAGUGGGGAGAGCGUCAGCCCUCCCUGGAGUGCCUCAAGGUCUGGCAGAUCCAACAUGUGGUAAAUCGGGCCAUGUAGUCAUGACCAAGGAACUUGGGCCCCCAGACCAGUAGACAGUGGUGCAGAGAGGGAGGAGUGGUUCAGCCCAGAAAACAAGGAACAAGGCUGUUGUUCUAGGCAGGGGGAUGAGAGUCUGGGGAGACCAGAAAUAGGCACGGCGAGAGAGUCUGGCUCAGACUGGGCAGCAGGGGACAAGGCUAUGGCACUGGCAGCUGAGGGAGGGCGGAGGAGCCCCUGAACAUGGCUCUGAAGGUGUCCCUGUGGGAGAAGGAGAGCAGGUGGCCGGGUCAGCAGUCUGGGGACAGACGCGAGGCACAGCUGGUGGGCAGGCUGCUGGGGAGAGGUCAGUCCAGCCGCUGGAUGUUGGGCAGGGGAUGUCGGGGACAGAGCAGGCGAUGUUUUGAGGUAGAAGCCUGGGGCUGGCCUCAUAGGACAAGAGCUGGGACGCAAGUCUGGAGCCUGGCUGUGGCUGUGAUCCUGGGCCUUGAGCAGCCUGCUGCAGCCAGGCCCUGCCACCAGCUGUCACCAUGCAUCGCGGAGCAGCUGCGUCCCUGGGCUAACAGGCUGCUCCGCCUCCAGCCCCUGGCUGACGGCUCCUCCAACCCGUCCCUGCACGAGACCCUGAAGCCAGCGGCCCUGCCACACCAGCCGGGGGGACCCUCGCCAUCCAGCAGCCUGGGCAGCCUGAGCCCAGCCGAGAAGGAAGACUGCAGCUCCUCCUGCAGCGCCCGCUCUGCUGCCAGUGAGGACAGACUGCUGUGCCGCGCCUUCCUGAGGGCAAACAGCUUCCCUGAGGUGCUGGCCUGCGAGAGAUUUUUAAAAUGUGCCUCCUGGACCUUCUUCCGAAGAAGAAGUCAGAUGAUGAAUUGCACCAAAAGAUCCUUUCAGAACAAGAACAUGUAA